GAUUGGUUAGCUCGAUACUACGCAAUGAUUGAUUGUGCGGCCAGGACCGUCACUACAACAGAAUUAGGUUAUAGGGACACAUGUUUGGGACACUUUUGAGUAAGUGUCUCAUUUAUGCUAAAACUUAAAAACACAUCUACUAAUACCUAAAUAUAAUGCCCAAUCUAACCAAAAAUAAAAGAUUACUCUACUCAACCCACCACACCCAGUCCAUCUGGCCCGAUUACAAACAGAAAAGAAAAAAAAAAGAAAAAUCAAUUACCAUCUUUUCUUUUCUCUUCACUCAAUUCAUUGAAAUUCUAGAUGAAGGGCCUUUACUGUCGUCCUCCUCCGCCACCGCAGCCAACGAGAUAGAGUUUCGGCAGUUGCUAAAUGCUUAAAUAAAUGUUGGUAAAUUAGCAGCACUCUUUUAGAUUAUAGCGACACUCUUUAACUGUCACUAUAUACCUAGCGACCCCACAUAUAGCAACACUUUUUAAAAGUGUCGGUAAUUUUAGCUAGCAGCACUUUUUUGACAUGUACCUAUAUUUAAAAGC
rnacentral:lncRNA from 1 species